AAACCAACAGGGAUUGCCCCAGUAGCGGCGAGUGAAGCGGCAAGAGCUCAGAUUUGAAAUCGUGUUUCGGCACGAGUUGUAGAGUGUAGGCGGGAGUCUCUGUGGAGCGCGGUGUCCAAGUCCCUUGGAACAGGGUGCCUGAGAGGGUGAGAGCCCCGUAGGGUGCUGCGCGAAGCUUUUGAGGCCCUGCUGACGAGUCGAGUUGUUUGGGAAUGCAGCUCCAAGCGGGUGGUAAAUUCCAUCUAAGGCUAAAUAUUGGCGAGAGACCGAUAGCGAACAAGUACUGUGAAGGAAAGAUGAAAAGCACUUUGAAAAGAGAGUGAAACAGCACGUGAAAUUGUUGAAAGGGAAGGGUAUUGGGCUCGACAUGGGGGGUGCGCACCGCUGUCUCUUGUAGGCGGCGCUCUGGGCGCCCUCUGGGCCAGCAUCGGUUCCUGCUGCGGGAGAAGGGGCUCCGGAAAGUGGCUCUUCGGAGUGUUAUAGCCGGGGCCAGAUGCCGCGUGUGGGGACCGAGGACUGCGGCUUCUGUCUCGGAUGCUGGCAUAACGGCGCAAUACCGCCCGUCUUGAACCAC
rnacentral:rRNA from 1 species